rnacentral:tRNA from 1 species
GGAGACGUGGGUGAGUGGCUGAAACCAGCGGUUUGCUAAACCGUCGUGCUCUUAAGGGGGCACCCCGGGUUCGAAUCCCGGCGUCUCCG